rnacentral:rRNA from 1 species
GACGAACGCUGGCGGCGUGCUUAACACAUGCAAGUCGAACGGAAAGACCCUGCUUUUGUGGGGUGCUCGAGUGGCGAACGGGUGAGUAACACGUGAGUAACCUGCCCUUGACUUUGGGAUAACUUCAGGAAACUGGGGCUAAUACCGGAUAGGAGCUCCUGCUGCAUGGUGGGGGUUGGAAAGUUUCGGCGGUUGGGGAUGGACUCGCGGCUUAUCAGCUUGUUGGUGGGGUAGUGGCUUACCAAGGCUUUGACGGGUAGCCGGCCUGAGAGGGUGACCGGCCACAUUGGGACUGAGAUCCGGCCCAGACUCCUACGGGAGGCAGCAGUGGGGAAUAUUGCACAAUGGGCGGAAGCCUGAUGCAGCAACGCCGCGUGCGGGAUGACGGCCUUCGGGUUGUAAACCGCUUUCGCCUGUGACGAAGCGUGAGUGACGGUAAUGGGUAAAGAAGCACCGGCUAACUACG